CCCGCACAAGCGGAGGAACAUGUGGUUUAAUUCGAUGAUACGCGAGGAACCUUACCUGGGCUUAAAUGUAGAGUGCUAUUUUUUAGAGAUAGAAAUUCCCUUCGGGGCUUUCUGCAAGGUGCUGCAUGGUUGUCGUCAGCUCGUGCCGUGAGGUGUCGGGUUAAGUCCCAUAACGAGCGCAACCCUUAUCGUUAGUUGCCAGCUGGUAAAGCAGGGGACUCUAGCGAAACUGCCACCGUAAGGUGAGAGGAAGGUGGGGAUGACGUCAAAUCAGCACGGCCCUUAUGUCCAGGGCUACACACGUGUUACAAUGGCCGGCACAGAGGGCAGCUACCUGGUGACAGGAUGCUAAUCUCGAAAACCGGUCUCAGUUCGGAUCGAAGUCUGCAACUCGACUUCGUGAAGUUGGAAUCGCUAGUAAUCGCGGAUCAGCAUGCCGCGGUGAAUACGUUCCCGGGCCUU
rnacentral:rRNA from 1 species